AGUCGGUUGGCUCAGCUGGGUAGACCUUGGUGCUAAUAAUGCCAAGGUCAUGGGUUCAAUCCCCAUACUGACCA